rnacentral:rRNA from 1 species
GGGGGGGGGGGGGGGGGGGGGGGGGGCGGGCGGGGCGGGCGAACGGACGAGGGGCUUGCUCCUCUGACGUUAGCGGCGGACGGGUGAGUAACACGUGGAUAACCUACCUAGAAGACUGGGAUAACUUCGGGAAACCGGAGCUAAUACCGGAUAAUAUCUUGAACCGCAUGGUUUAUUAUUGAAAUACGGUGUUUCUUUCACUUAUAGAUGGCUCCACUCCCCAUUAGCUAGUUGGUAGGGUCACGGCUUACCAAGGCAACGAUCCGUCGCGGACAGGCGCGGGUGAUCGGCCACACUGGAACUGAGACACGGUCCAGACUACUACGGGAGGGAGCAGUAGGGAAUCUUCCGCAAUGGGCGAAAGCCUGACGGAGCAACGCCGAGUGAGUGAUGAAGGUCUUCGGAGCGUAAAACUCUGUUACUAGGGAAGAACAAAUGUGUAAGUAACUAUGCACGUCUUGACGGUAACUAAUCAGAAAGCCACGGCUAACUACGUG